UACGGGGGGGGCAAGCGUUGUUCGGAAUUACUGGGCGUAAAGGGCUCGUAGGCGGCCAACUAAGUCAGACGUGAAAUCCCUCGGCUUAACCGGGGAACUGCGUCUGAUACUGGAUGGCUUGAGGUUGGGAGAGGGAUGCGGAAUUCCAGGUGUAGCGGUGAAAUGCGUAGAUAUCUGGAGGAACACCGGUGGCGAAGGCGGCAUCCUGGACCAACACUGACGCCGAGGAGCGAAAGCCAGGGGAGCAAACGGG
rnacentral:rRNA from 1 species